rnacentral:rRNA from 1 species
UAGUAGCGGCGAGCGAAGCGGGAAGAGCUCAAAUUUAUAAUCUGGCACCUUCGGUGUCCGAGUUGUAAUCUCUAGAAGUGUUUUCCGCGUUGGACCGCACACAAGUCUGUUGGAAUACAGCGGCAUAGUGGUGAAACCCCCGUAUAUGGUGCGGACGCCCAGCGCUUUGUGAUACACUUUCAAUGAGUCGAGUUGUUUGGGAAUGCAGCUCAAAUUGGGUGGUAAAUUCCAUCUAAAGCUAAAUAUUGGCGAGAGACCGAUAGCGAACAAGUACCGUGAGGGAAAGAUGAAAAGCACUUUGGAAAGAGAGUUAACAGUACGUGAAAUUGUUGGAAGGGAAACGCUUGAAGUCAGACUUGCUUGCCGGAGCUUGCUUCGGUUUGCAGGCCAGCAUCAGUUUUCCGGGGUGGAUAAUGACGGUUUGAAGGUAGCAGUCUCGGCUGUGUUAUAGCUUUCCGUUGGAUACAUCCUGGGGGACUGAGGAACGCAGCGUGCUUUUUGCGAAAGACUCGUCUUUUUCACGCUUAGGAUGCUGGUGGAAUGGCUUUAAACGACCCGUCUUG